GCCGGGUGAGGAAAGUCCGGGCUUCACAGGGCAGGAUGCCGGAUAACGUCCGGCGGAGGCGACUCCCGGGAAAGUGCAACAGAAAUAUACCGCCGGCUUCGGCCGGUAAGGGUGAAAUGGCGAGGUAAGAGCUCACCGCUGUUCUGGUAACAGGACAGGCUCUGUAAACCCCAUCCGAAGCAAGACCAAGAUCGAGCUACAGGGCUGCCCGCUCUGCUCAUGGUAGGUUGCUUGAGCCGUAUGGUAACAUACGGUCUAGAUAGAUGAUCACCCACGACAUAACCCGGCUUAUCGUUCUGCUCGG
rnacentral:RNase_P_RNA from 1 species